AAGCUAAGCAUUUCUUGUCCAUAUUGAUUUCGAAACUUGACAAGGAAGGUUGAAUAAAAAUCCACGACAAUCGAGAAUUAGAGAAUUUCGUUAAUUUUUUUAAUUUGAGAGCAUGAGAGCAAAGUGGCGUAAGAAGCGUAUGCGUAGGCUAAAGCGCAAAAGGAGGAAGAUGCGUGCGAGGUCCAAGUAAACUGUUCUUUUUAAUCUCUCUGUAGGAAUGACAGCAUCACACUGAGAAGUCAUGGUUUCUAGUUAAAUUUAUCAGAAGUCUUACAUGCUCUACUGUCGUGUAACUUAACCAUUCCAUCAAUGUACCGUUCAUAUAGAGAGAUAAUUUUAUAAUUCUUUAUUUUAUUUAUCUUAAAUAAAAUGGAACCUCGAUAUAUACAAAUUUA